UUCUGCCACCAUGGCUGACGCCUUUCCUGUUCUAAGGUAGGAGCACUUUUUCCCACUGAGCAAAAAGCUCCUUUCGCAAACAUCCACUUUGCUGGGCUUUGUUUUUAACAAAAGGAGCCCAUAGCACCCAGUACAACGGGGCUGUCCAGGUGACUCACUGUCUUGCAUACUGAUGGGCUCCCAGACAGCUCCCCCCAGCCAGCUGGCCGCUCAGAGCUCCAUUCCCAAGCUCCCACUUUUUCAAAGCCCUGUGCUCAACCCGACUGGCUUGGUCACCCUCCUUUCCAGACGGACAAUCCUGGGGAGAAAGUAAUGCCAGGCCACAGGCUCAACUCCAGCUCUCCACAGAGCAGUCUUGCCCAGGAAAUAAUGGCUUCGAGGCGCUUACAGCCCCGGGCGGUGCAUACAAGCAGGAGGAACAGAAUGAAAGAGGUAGGCAACUGUUUGUUGCUUUCACCGAGAUUUCCUCGCAAUGGGCCACGGAUGUCCUUUCUCCAACGUCUGGGAGGAUGAAGCAGGACAGGGAGCCCACAAACUGUCGUUGAAGACGUGCUCUGCCUGCCCCUGCUUUGCUGGCAACGUGCGGUGUUUGGACAAGAUUGUCACAGUGUUGAGUUGGAGAGCCACCACUGGCCGAGUCUUCCUCUGGCUUUGCUCUGGCCGCAUCUCUCUCCAGACCCGACCUUUCAAAUGGCUCCCAGCUGCCUCCACGUUCAGCCAAAAGCCACCGGCCUGGACGUUAGGCCCUUCUUAGCUUGAACUGGCCUCUUCCCCUGGAACGCCUCCCUGGAUCUCUUCACACCCGAGAACAUCCACCAUCACUGGUUUCCAGAGCACCUGAACUCCCAGCCCUUCCCACCCUGAUCACUGAGUGACUGAAUUGGAAUUAAAUACUUGUUUAGUGUCACCCCAGCUAGACUGUUGGGCUCUGCAUGGGGAGGGACCGGGUCUUUUCAUUGAAGCACUCAAAGGAGCGCUUUUAAAUUUAAAUAUAUUUAUACUGGGGCACCGGGGUGGCUCAGUGGGUUAAGCCCCACUUAACUUUGGCUCAGGUCCGACUUCGACUCAGGUCAUGAAUCUCACGAUUCGUGGGUUCGAGCCCCACAUCGGGUUCUGUGCUGACAGCUCAGAGCCUGGAGCCUGCUGAAUUCUGUGUUUCUCUUUCUCUCUCUCUGCCCCUUCCCCACUCGUGCUCUGUCUCUCAGAAAUGAAUACACCUUAACAAGAUUUUUUGAUAAAUAAAUAAAUGUUUGUGUCUCGCUCAAUGGCUGACUGACUUGAGGUUCUGCAGGGAUGUUCCAUGCCCUGAUUUCUCUGGACACACACCUGUGUUCUGUCAACAUCUGCCACUCCCUGAGUGGCCUUUACUUUCCUAUCUCUGUGACUUUGUUCAUGUGAUGCCUUCUUCUUGGAGUGUGGAUAUCCUUUCCAUCCCGUUGCAGGACAAUCGGAAUUACAGAAGGCAGGAGGCUAGUUCUUUUACUGAGAUGCAGUUUCACAGACUAUAAAAUUCACUUGUGAUUUUUCCUAUAGUCACAAGGUUGUGCAGCCAUCAGCACUAACUCCAGAACACUUCCAUCACCCCCAAAUAAACCCCCUACCCAUCAGCCACCAUUCCCUACUCCUCUUCUCCCCCCCGCUCCUGGCGAUCACCGAUGCUCCUGUUUGUCUCCAUGCAUUCGCCCAUUCUAGAUAUUUCAUUCACGCAGAAUCAUACAUGUGGCCUUUCAUGUCUAGCUUCUUUCGUUUAGCAUAAGGUCGUCAAGGCCCAUUCAUACUGUAGCAGGUGUCACUCCAUUCUUCUUCACGGCUGAAUCAUAUGUCAUGAGACGGAGGUCCCCCUUUUUAUUUCUUCCUUCAUCAGUUCAUUUGGAUUGUUUCCAUGUUUGGGCUCUUAUGAAUAAUCCUGCCAGGAAUAUUUGUGUACAAGCUUUCGGGUGAACAUCUGUUUUCAGUUCUCAUGUGUAUAUACUUACAGGAGGAACUGUUGGGUCAUGUGGUAACAUUACAUUUAACCUCUUAAAGAAUCACUGAACUGUUUUCCAAAAUGGCUGUACGAUUUAACAUGCCCACCUACAAUGGAUGAGGAUUCCAAUUUCUUUACGUGCUUGCCAACACAUGCAUGUUAUUGUCUGUUGUUGUUGUUGUUGUAAUUACCAUUCUAGUGAAUAUGAAGUGAUAUCUCAUUGUGCUUGCAAUCCCCUGAUGACUAAUGAUGCCAAGAAUUUUUUCAGGGUCAUUCUACAUUUUAUUUACAGAAAUGUUUAUUCAAAUCUUCUGCCAUCUUUAAUUGGGUUAUUUGGGGCGCCUGGGUGGCUCAGUCAGUUGAGCGACCACCUUCGGCUCAGGUCAUGAUCUCGCGGUUUGUGAGUUUGGGGCCUGCAUCAGGCUCUGUGCUGACAGCUCGGAGCCUGGAGCCUUCUUCGGAUUCUGUGUCCCCCUCUCUCUCUGCCCCUCCCCCACUCAUGCUCUUCCUCUGUCUCAGAAAUAAAUAAACAUAAAAAAAUUUUAA